AUGGGACUUGACCUCGGUACUUUGAUGAAAUCACUCAUCCAACUUUCAGAGUUUACUUUUAAAUACUUUGAGCUAGAAAAGAAGCCUAUGCCUUUAUCCUUUUUCUAUUUUGCAUUCUUCUCAAACUAUUAAAUAAUCAUUUAUAGUAGAAGCCACCCAUGUUCCUCCUAACAAUAUCCAACAUGUUGUCAGGGUUUCAGAACAUAGGUGACAGCACUGUGAAUGUUCAUAGUCAUGAAUUUUAGAGAGACACUUCCCAUUACAAACCAGGUGGGUUAGUCUUGCAAUACUCCAAAUAAGGAUGAUCCACAAACCUGUGAAGCUCCAGGAAAGUACAGUGUCCUGCAACAAAAACCGAUGGCCUCUACCUUCUGGGCCACUUGAGAGGUUCCUGGGCCUGUUGCUACAUGUCCUCCUUUGACUCAGCCUUUUCUCAUGCUGUUUUCUUGUGGUGGCUGCUAACCCCAAAGAAUGCAGGAAGGAGCCAUAGUGAGAGUAUCCGAGUUUCUCUAAGAGAGACUGCUGAAACCAAACGUAUUUUCCUUUGCUCCAGGGGAACAUUUUAGGUCUUGUUUUGCACAGCUGGUUUCCAGACUGGCAAGUUUCAGUCAGCCCUUAAGAAUCAGCGACUGCCUUGAGCUGAGGAGUGAAGGCCUGAGGUCCUUAGAGGGACUCACAGGAGAAACAGCCUGGAUUCUCCCACUUUCCUACUACUACAUUGUUAAUACUGAUCUAAAAUAAUUAGAAGUUUUAAAAGUAAAUACAGACCUUGAGCUUUACCUUUAGACAUAUAUCUUAUUCAAGCAUCUUUUAUGACAACACUGGGCUUUUUUCUGGAUACCCAAGAACAUGUUGACAUUUUGUUCUUAUAUGGUUCCAAACUUAUUCUCUUUAGUUUUAUUAUCCAUGAUAUUGCAGGCUUUAUUGUGUUAGUUUGGAAAUUUUUUUUCUUUUUAGAACAAAAUGAGUUUUGUUCACCUUACUGUUAGAAAGAAAGGGGAAAACUUCAACCAGAAACGACAGUUCAUCUCCAACAAGGUUUAACAACAUGAUCAGGAAAAUGUGAAGUGGCCAUUCUACGCAGAUUAUUUGGGACAAAGUAUGUACUGUUGCCUUAACUCUGGGAUGAAGCAUGGGAUAAAAUGAUGAAAGUCAUUUUCAUAUCAGACAAGGACACAUGAACAGUUUUCUAGUUUUAGACAAAAUCUCACUUUUCUUAUGAGAGCUCAUUUGGACAGUUUAAAUCCUGGUUUCUUGAAGUAUGGUCAAGUCUGCUGCAUCAGAAUCCUUUGGAAUGCUCGUUAAAAAUACCACUUGCUGGGGCUGGGGUUGUGGCUUAGCAGUAGAGCGCUCGCCAAAGACCCUGGGUUGGAUCCCCAGCACCACAUAAAAAUAAAUAAGUGAAAUAAGGAUAUUGUGCCCAACUACAACUAGAAAAUAAAUAUUAAAAAAGAAAUACCACUUGCUGUGACGCAUCCAAGUAGGCCGGGGAUCUGCAUUCUAGUAAGUUCCCUGGUCUAUUCUGCUACACAGUCACAUUUAAGAGCCACUGGUAGGAUCAUUCACACAAUCUCUAUUGCUUAUGAUCAUAAGACUAGCAUAGAUUCAUGUAAUAAUCCCAGAAGAGUUUUAAUUUUUUCC
rnacentral:lncRNA from 1 species